rnacentral:tRNA from 1 species
GCAGUGGAGGUUCAGUGGUAGAAUCUGUGUCUUCCAUGCAGAAGAUGUGGGUUCAAUUCCCAGCCAGUGCA